rnacentral:rRNA from 1 species
GUGGGGAAUAUUGGACAAUGGGCGAAAGCCUGAUCCAGCCAUGCCGCGUGUGUGAAGAAGGUCUUCGGAUUGUAAAGCACUUUAAGUUGGGAGGAAGGGCAGUAAGUUAAUACCUUGUUGUUUUGACGUUACCGACAGAAUAAGCACCGGCUAACUUCGUGCCAGCAGCCGCGGUAAUACGAAGGGUGCAAGCGUUAAUCGGAAUUACUGGGCGUAAAGCGCGCGUAGGUGGUUUUGUAAGUUGGAGGUGAAAUCCCCGGGCUCAACCUGGGAACUGCCUCCAAAACUGCAUGACUAGAGUACGGUAGAGGGUAGUGGAAUUUCCUGUGUAGCGGUGAAAUGCGUAGAUAUAGGAAGGAACACCAGUGGCGAAGGCGACUACCUGGACUGAUACUGACACUGAGGUGCGAAAGCGUGGGGAGCAAACAGGAUUAGAAACCCCAGUAGUCC